AGGAUACACCCCCCUCUGGUGGUGUUUUCCUAAUAUUAUCCGUUGAAUGGACAGGUGGGUAAUUAUAGGCCCAGUGCUAUUUAAGGAAGUCAGCCCUCCUGAUUGUAUGUCUUCCACCUUUCCCUGGCUGGAAGAGGGACUUCCUGGUCAUUGUUGUUGGGCGUGGGUCCCGUGUGUGUACCAUUACUGCCAGCAGCAGCUCCGUUGUGCUUUAACCCGGUGUGGAUUCAUAGUGAAUGUUGCCAUCCGGAUUUGGGUGUGAGAACCUUAUCGGCUCAGCUUGUCGUGAGCAGUGUUAGCCGCACAGGCGUUAUCUCGCCACCGGAAGUGGGAGACGGAACCAUCAGCAAUCGGUACGUAAACGUAAAGUUUGUAUUGUGUCUAUUAAAACCAACAAUAUUGUAACUGUAGCUUUUACUACAUCUACAGAUUGGCAGAAGCAUCGGCGGUGUUCGUGCUGGCCUUUGGCCUGUUUCUGCAACCGAUGAGUUUGCUGCUUUGUCUCCACUGUUUGUUUAUUUAAUUUAUGUUCAUUUACCUUCCGAGGGGGCCUGUCAGUCUGACGACCAUUCGCCGCCUCUUCAUCUGUAUCUCCUCGCAGUGCAUGACCGGGCUUGUGUUUGUAACGUUGGGUUCUCGGCUCUGUUAAUAGCCUAACGAUUAUCGUGUUGCAUACAUGCAUUGACAUGCACAGAUCAUGCAUGUGGAGUGUUAACUGGGCCCUGGUUGGUGCAAGUCGUGUGUGUGUGUGUGUGUGUGUGUGUAUGCUGGUGUAUGUGUAUGCUGGUGUAUGUGGGGUUAGCCUACCUGUGUGUACGCUGGUGUGUGGUGAAUGUGCUUGUCUGUGUGUAUGUGCGUGCAUGCUAAUUUACUUCUCUUCUCAGUGACCCGGGUUGUCCACCUAGCCCAGUAUACCGCGCUGCGAAGAGGGGAGAUAUUGUCGGCCGCCCUAUUUAAGCUAAGUCCUGUUCUGAUACACCAAAACCACUAAAACAGUGUACCUGUCCUGUAAGCUGUGCAUUGUGGACUCUUGAGUAAUAUCUCUAUCUCUCUCUCUCCUCUCUCCUCUCUCCUCUCUCGCUGGACAGGAGCUGUGAGCCCAAGUGGUUGCGUGGUGGUCCCAAGGUGGUGGAGUCCCCUCACUUUUCCUGCUGUAGUACACUGGGUGUUUGUCUUUUGGAUUGAAGUAAUCACGUGUGGUGUGGAUCUUCCGGGCCUUCUCUCCUCUGAUAACCCCUCGCACCCCGAAAUCUCUUUCUACAGACUGCUGUCUAACGAGGAUCAGGUGAGGGGCGGAGACACAGGCACAAGGAACAGAAACACAAACAAAGGAGCACAUGGCACAAGACACAGGAAGUAAACAAAGCAAACAGGAAGACACAAGAGGAGCAGACGUGGAAAAACACUAGACAAGGAAAACAAGACAGGAACAGAUCCUUACAAGUGCAUUCCCUCUAUAUUGUAUCGGAGUUAGACUUUUUAGCAAAAGACACUAAUUUAGUUUGUUUAUUAUUGAACUUCUCAACUGUUGGGGGACCCCAAGAGCGAAGCUUCUUUAGUGCUGCUUUAAUUAAUUCUAAGGGACAUCUAGGUAGGCUAAUGCAAGCUAUGGUACAAACUUUGUAGAAUGGUACAAGUCUACAAAUCUAUAUUCUAUUAUAGUGUUAUGUGUAUGGAAUGCUUUUCUUUUAGCCAAAUAAUUAUAAUAAAAUGUAAGUGUGACCUUUGUUGUAACGGAUAAGUAAUAAUAAACUAGAAAAUGUAA